AUAUGACUUGGCUCCGUGUGCUUGAACUACUACAGAAGUUCGCAAUUUCCUUCUUCUACUUACUUCUGCUAUAAGAAUGUACUACAAAAUAAUCCAUCUUUGCUACUUCAACUCGGUCUAUUCGUCUAUUCGGCUGGGUAAAACCAGAGGGCAAUACAAUGAUAAUAAUCGAAGGAGGAAAUAUUUUCAAAAAGUAAACAGUACCCUGGAGCAAAUAAGAAAAUGGUGGUGGUGGUAGGAAAAGAGAAAGUGGUGGAUGAUCUGAGUUGCAAAAACUACUUGGAAUUCAGCACCACAGUGGAUCACGUUUGCCGAAUCAGACAUAACUUCUUCUUAUCCAUCGUAUUCGCAGAGAGAAAACGUCCACCAAGAAGAAGAACAAGAAGGUCUCGCUGCCCCGUAUUGCCCUUGAUCGCUCCUCUUGUAUCUCAUCCUCCAUCCUUCCUGUUUACCCUAUCACUGCAACAUAAGAAGGAGUGAGCAUGGUAAGUGGAUUCCCUGACGACUGCCCUCGUACAAAUUGGCCAAGAGAAAGAGAACACAAAAGGAGGACGAGAAUUCGAGGGUAUAAGUGGCCAACUGGUUGGACGGGUGAAUCCCUUGUUAAUCAUUUACGGAAGCUUCAAACCCACAAUCUGACAAUCACACAACGGGAGAAAACCAUACUCUGCAUGAACUUGUUAUCUUUCAGCUCAGGUCUCAUUACAACCUUUCACAUUUAAGUCGCAACACGUCUCGCUGAGAAAAAUUUAAUGUGAGAAAUUGACCAAGCAUCACUCCCCGUCAGAAAUGGAAAGGUUACUGUCAGAUCGUAACUAAACUGCUGAGUAAUAUAAUGAGACGACCACAAAGGUAUAAAACAAAUUAGAUUCCCUUCUCUCUCUCUCUCUCACAGGAAAACGAGCUCUCCUUCUUCUCGGAGGCACAUUCAGCCGUCUUGUUUCAAAAGGCUGUUUCUCCAACAACAAAUUCUCACCCACCCAUCGACCAAGCGGACCUUCCGGUCUGCGUGCCGCUCUAAGAUUCAUUGAACGACAUUAUGCCCCCGAUUUGUGAUGCCGCAUCCAGUCAGCUAGAAGAUAAAUGCUCAUUAUGCGUGCAAAGGGAGACAGCACCGCCUGCCUGCCCGAGUCUCGACAUGAUUGUCACACUUUGACAAAAGUCUUGGCCAGUUCCCCAGACGGUGAGUGAGCGAGUCCUAAAACUUUUAGGCCCAAAACUACUGGAGAAGUCAAGUGUGUGGUGACUUGGAGACCGCCUCCUCCUCCUGUCAGCCAUAGAUACGAGGCACCCAUAUGUACAAGAGAAAGCAGACGAAGUGAACAAGUCAGGCAAGGCUAAGUUCCUUCUUCCUCUUCCUAAUGGCCAUUCAUUUGGUGAAACAAUGGUUCAUAAAAAUCAAUCCACAAAGGACCAGAGAGUAACAAAAUGACAAGGGCUAUAUAUACACUCCCAUUAACUCCAAUUCAGUUUCUCCGCACGACGAGUUUUGAGAAAACAGCUCUCUCUCCCAGAACGUCGAUAUACAUAUGCGAACAAAGUCUCGUUUGCUGAACGGCAACUUAUAUAUCAUUGACGUCGGCUUUACAUCCAUACACAAAAUGGUACCUUUACAACCCGACUGGACAACUGUUCUCUGGACGAAAGGACACUCCGUAGAAAUUGUUGAGUGCACGCAGGGCGAGGGAAAAACGGUGGGUCGUUACAGUCUCUUGUCACUGACAGGAAUAUUGAUGGAGGGAACGCAACAUUCUCUCAAAUCUGUGGGUCUCAAACGUUCAAUCCGUGGCGUCGGACGUGGUGGCCAUGCGGUGCAGUGGUACCAUUGGGCGUGUUCAUGUUCUUGUUUGCCGUGCGAAGAAAAUCUUGACAACUCGUAAUCUCUUUCUCCAGGAUCCGCAAACGACUCUAACUGUCAAGACCAACAACAACCCAACAACCCAACAACAACAACAAUGAUAAUAUUAACCAACAAACUCUUUUCAUUAUUAAACUUUCAAUCGAG